rnacentral:rRNA from 1 species
UUAUAUAAUAGGAGGAACAAAUGUCAUUUCGUCGCUUUAUUCAGGAUCUGAUUCAAUAUCGGGUGAUGAUAUUCGUUGCACUUGGACUUUUUAUCGCAGGAAUUAUUAUGGGAGUAGUCCUUACGGAUGAACUCAGUGCGCUAAUAGCCCCGCAAAUAGAAGCGCUGCAAGAGGUGAGCGGGAAAUUGUCGAACUCAUCUUCACCGGAGCUGAGCUUCUUUAUAUUUAUCUUUUUAAAUAAUGCCGUGAAAAGUUUAUUCAUUAUGGGGUUAGGCGCGCUGUUCGGCUUUAUGCCGAUUGUGUUCUUGGUCAUGAAUGGGAUGGUAUUGGGAUUUUUGGUUCAUGCGGCCUCGGCUCAAGGGGCUAACAUGUUCGAUUUGAUCGUGAAAGGAUUGCUGCCGCACGGGAUUAUAGAAAUUCCAGCGAUUGUGGUUGCCGCUGCUUACGGGCUGCAGUUUGGUUAUUUGGUGAUGAAAAGCUUGGGAGAGCUUGGCGCCAGGGAUCGUCAUGAGCGCAGCGUGAAGUGGGGAAUGUUUUUUCGGACGGCGGGAACAGCAGCCAUCUGGAUUACGGUGGCCUUAUUGGUCGCGGCUAUGAUCGAAAGUACGAUUACAUUUCAUUUGGUUAAAACAUAAAAAUUAUAUAAGCAUUCAUAUUUUUCCUAAAAAUUGUGCAUACCAUUAAAGCGGUUCAAAAGACCGAGUUUCUUAUUUUGUAAAAAAGGUUAAUCAUCGUUAACCAACAGAGAUGAGUUUCAAGAUUUUGAAUUUUAAGGGAAAUAUUGAAAUUCAUCUUGGUCAAAUAGGGGCUGGGAGCAUAGUGCCAUCAAAUCCUGCACCAAUCGUAACUUAGUUGAAAGAGGAGCUGUGAGCCAUGUUGGGUAUGUUAUUUAAUGAAAAAGAAUGCAAGGAACUUGAUUAUGUACUUCGUAAGGAACUAGAUGAGAUGCUGCUGGAUAUGAGCGACAAUCGUCUUGAUCAGGAUAUCAGACAUGCGAUUGCGAAUCGAUACAAGACUGUAUUUCGAAUGUAUGCUCGGUUUGCCCCCUCGAAAGAACUCUCCAAAUAUGCACGAAGAGCAAGUUUCCCACAAGCAAGACAAUAAGAUUACAAAGGGUAUUGACUUAAGAGUGGCAAUUGUGAUAAAUUAUCAAUCGUGCCUCUUUUGAGGGACGGGAUAGGGUCGUAAGAGUUUUAUAAAGGAAUUAAAAAAGUUUCAAAAAAACUCUUGCGAAAACCUAGCUGAGUAUGUUAUAUUAUAAAAGUCGCCGCUGAAACAUGGCGACGCGCGAGAAGUGAAGUUGAUCUUUGAAAACUGAACAACGAGUGAGCGGGUUUCACGGAAGUGAAAUCUAAAAAUAGAGUCAGAUGCAAAUCUGAUCUCGUCAGAUUCAAAAUGAGCAAGUCAAACACUUAGCUGAAAGAGAAAUUGCCUUCGGGUAAAACUUCCUUUCACCUUUAAUGGAGAGUUUGAUCCUGGCUCAGGACGAACGCUGGCGGCGUGCCUAAUACAUGCAAGUCGAGCGAAGUUAUUUUGGAAGCUUGCUUCCGAAAUAACUUAGCGGCGGACGGGUGAGUAAUACGUAGGCAACCNCAGGUAGGCGAGAAGAGAAUUCUAAGGCGCGCGGAAGAACUCUCGUUAAGGAACUCGGCAAAAUGACCCCGUAACUUUGGGAGAAGGGGUGCCCCGGUAGUGUGAAUAGCACGAGGGGGCCGCAGUGAAAAGGCCCAAGCGACUGUUUAGCAAAAACACAGGUCUGUGCGAAGCCGUAAGGCGAAGUAUACGGGCUGACGCCUGCCCGGUGCUGGAAGGUUAAGGGGAGCGGUUAGGGAGUAAUCCCGAAGCUGUGAACCGAAGCCCCAGUAAACGGCGGCCGUAACUAUAACGGUCCUAAGGUAGCGAAAUUCCUUGUCAGGUAAAUUCUGACCCGCACGAAUGGCGUAACGACUUGGGCGCUGUCUCAACGAGAGAUCCGGUGAAAUUUUAAUACCUGUGAAGAUGCAGGUUACCCGCGACAAGACGGAAAGACCCCAUGGAGCUUUACUACAGCUUGAUAUUGAACUUUGAUGCGAUUUGUACAGGAUAGGUGGGAGCCUAGGAAUCCGGAGCGCCAGCUUCGGUGGAGGCAUCGUUGGGAUACCACCCUGAUCGUAUCGAAGUUCUAACCUAGGACCGUGACCCGGUUCGGGGACAGUGUCAGGCGGGUAGUUUGACUGGGGCGGUCGCCUCCUAAAGAGUAACGGAGGCGCCCCAAGGUUCCCUCAGAAUGGUUGGAAAUCAUUCGUAGAGUGCAAAGGCAAAAGGGAGCUUGACUGCGAGACUGACAAGUCGAGCAGGGACGAAAGUCGGGCUUAGUGAUCCGGUGGUACCGCAUGGAAGGGCCAUCGCUCAACGGAUAAAAGCUACCCUGGGGAUAACAGGCUUAUCUCCCCCAAGAGUCCACAUCGACGGGGAGGUUUGGCACCUCGAUGUCGGCUCAUCGCAUCCUGGGGCUGAAGUAGGUCCCAAGGGUUGGGCUGUUCGCCCAUUAAAGCGGUACGCGAGCUGGGUUCAGAACGUCGUGAGACAGUUCGGUCCCUAUCUGUCGUGGGCGUAGGAAAUUUGAGAGGAGCUGUCCUUAGUACGAGAGGACCGGGAUGGACGCACCGCUGGUGCACCAGUUGUUCCGCCAGGAGCAUAGCUGGGUAGCUACGUGCGGAUGGGAUAAACGCUGAAAGCAUCUAAGCGUGAAGCCCUCCUCAAGAUGAGAUUUCCCAAUUUAGUAAGACCCCUUGAAGACGACGAGGUUGAUAGGCCUGAGGUGGAAGUGCAGCAAUGUAUGGAGCUGACAGGUACUAAUCGGUCGAGGGCUUAUCCAA